rnacentral:lncRNA from 1 species
UUAGCUUCUUCCCUUUGCUCGAUUCUAGAACCCUAGAUCUCUACUCUCUCCUUUAUCAAUCAUCAUUUACCACAAUUUCCAUUUCCGAUUCAAACCUGGAAACUCAAACGAAGACCUCCACAUGGUCGACACCGUCUCUGGUCACUUCUCCACCGUCGGCCUUGUCGAGAAACCGCUCAAAGGUACAUUCCAAUUUCACAAGUCCAUGAUCUCUCUCCGUCUCUCGAGUUUUAGGUUUAUAAUUGAUUGAAAUCGAUGAUAAGUUUUGGUUUAGGCCUUUAGGGUUUUUAGCUUUUACGGAAUGAAAUCGAAUCGAUUUCGAUGAUCUCUCUGUUUUGGUACUUAUUUUUUCCUUUUGUCGACAUUAUCUAUAUCAUUUUGACCCUCUGAUAGUCUGAUAUUAUGUAGGAUAUGUCGAUUUGAUUGAGUAACUGGUGGAUCUUUGAUAUAGCGAUGAGAGUAUUUUAGAGUUAUGAACUUAUGAUCCGUUUCAUUGAAACCUGAAACUUGGUAGCUCUGUCUCUAGGUUACAGUUGAGAAAGCCACUUCUUUGUUGAAUUUCUUUGCUUUGUUUUGUACAAGAGAUCUCCUGUCAAGUUCAAGCAAGUAUCUCUUAUGGUACAUGAUGAAUUUCUCUUACUUGUGUUGAUGAUAAAACAGAGACCGUGAAGAUGUGAUGGUAUUUUUUCUUUAUGGUCAUGAUCUUUCUUUUUUUUUCUUUUAAUUUAAGUGGCAAAGUUGAAUUUGAGUCGGUGAAUUUGAGUAGAUCUACAAAGGUUAGUCAUACCCGAACUAAGUGAGAUACAUAGAUUAUGUAAGAGUGAGAUUGCAUUCUGAUUUCUGACAUUUGUUUACUUGUAUAGGUUCAUGCGGGUUGGUCAAGGAGAGUGAGAUUAUCUACUUCUAGUUUUCAUGAAUGUGUAAUGUGUUUCCAUCUCCAGUUUUCUACUUCGGGUUUUAGGCUUGUCAACUUGUCUUUUUUUUCUU